rnacentral:rRNA from 1 species
GGGUUGUGAGGUUAAGCGACUAAGCGUACACGGUGGAUGCCCUGGCAGUCAGAGGCGAUGAAGGACGUGCUAAUCUGCGAUAAGCGCCGGUAAGGUGAUAUGAACCGUUAUAACCGGCGAUUUCCGAAUGGGGAAACCCAGUGUGAUUCGUCACACUAUCAUUAACUGAAUCCAUAGGUUAAUGAGGCGAACCGGGGGAACUGAAACAUCUAAGUACCCCGAGGAAAAGAAAUCAACCGAGAUUCCCCCAGUAGCGGCGAGCGAACGGGGAGGAGCCCAGAGCCUGAAUCAGCAUGUGUGUUAGUGGAAGCGUCUGGAAAGGCGCGCGAUACAGGGUGACAGCCCCGUACACAAAAGCGCAUGUGCUGUGAGCUCGAUGAGUAGGGCGGGACACGUGGUAUCCUGUCUGAAUAUGGGGGGACCAUCCUCCAAGGCUAAAUACUCCUGACUGACCGAUAGUGAACCAGUACCGUGAGGGAAAGGCGAAAAGAACCCCGGCGAGGGGAGUGAAAAAGAACCUGAAACCGUGUACGUACAAGCAGUGGGAGCCCCACCACUAAGCCAGUGGUGAACUCCACAUACGCAUCCUUUGCUGAGGAUACGGUUAACGGAGCGAAAGCGACGUUCAACCUCAAAAGAAGCAGAGGGGGCUUAGUGGUGGGGUGACUGCGUACCUUUUGUAUAAUGGGUCAGCGACUUAUAUUCUGUAGCAAGGUUAACCGCAUAGGGGAGCCGGAGGGAAACCGAGUCUUAA